GAUAAACGCUGGCGGCGCACAUAAGACAUGCAAGUCGAACGGACUUAACCAUUAGUUUACUAUUGGAGCGGUUAGUGGCGGACUGGUGAGUAACACGUAAGCAACCUGCCUAUCAGAGGGGAACAACAGUUAGAAAUGACUGCUAAUACCGCAUAUGCCUAAGUACCACAUGGUACAAUAGGGAAAGGAGCAAUCCGCUGAUAGAUGGGCUUGCGUCUGAUUAGAUAGUUGGUGGGGUAAUGGCCUACCAAGUCGACGAUCAGUAGCCGGGCUGAGAGGUUGAACGGCCACAUUGGGACUGAGAUACGGCCCAGACUCCUACGGGAGGCAGCAGUCGGGAAUAUUGCGCAAUGGAGGAAACUCUGACGCAGUGACGCCGCGUGCAGGAAGAAGGUUUUCGGAUUGUAAACUGCUUUAGACAGGGAAGAAACAAGACAGUACCUGUAGAAUAAGCUCCGGCUAACUACGUG
rnacentral:rRNA from 1 species